rnacentral:piRNA from 1 species
UACCACAUAUCCAGGACCCAGGCUGGUGA